rnacentral:piRNA from 1 species
UGAUAAUGCCAAGCAUGUAUGUAGGGGCU